CUUGAGAGAGCCCUGAAAUACAAAUGCCGGGAAGGCGAGGCUGGGUGUGCGCAGCUCUGACUUUUAUGGCUUCAUUCUCCACGGAUGGGGUCAUGGGAAGUUAUUUUGUUCCAGCAAGACGGGGAGAAUCUCAGGCGUCGGGAGCUUGGCUUGGGUCCCUUCUCAUCUAUUACCAGCCUAGAAAUGAAAAAUCUGGCUGUGAUUUGUAGUGACUGCAAUGGAGCAGAAAAGCAGUUGGCGUCUCCGAUCCCUCACCGUUCAUUAUUUUUUUUCCCCCUGUGCUCCUUGAUAGGAUUGGCAAUUGGGAUUUGGGGAGCACAGGGGUUGGUGUUUGUGGCCUUUUCAGCUCCACCAGUAGCACCUGCAUCGCAGUGUGCCCUGAGGCUUGUUUGGGCAGCCUGAAGAUAAAUCAGAGAGUUUAUAAAAUGUUUCAGAGGAGCACGUGAAAGUUGGGGAUUGCCAUUGCACGGUGUGUUUGCGACCAAGGAGGAUCCAUCCACUGUUGCCUCUGGAGAUGCGUGGAGUUCAUUAUCCCCCUGCCUGGAAAGCAGGCUGGAAAGCCAGGAGGCUGCAUUCAUGUCUCUGCCAAAGUAUGUCAAAUUAAUCUAUCUAGCAUCUUUGCGAUUUUUUUUUUGCCCAGCUUUAAAAUGGGGACAGUUGUCACCUGCCUUUUUUAGAGCAGGCUCAUGUGUUUAAGAGGAACUGCGUGUGGGACGAAGUUUUGCUCCCACGCUCGCAGCAGGGGUGAGAUUUGGUCCUUCAAAAUGCCACUUGAUAAAUAACAAGUAGUGAUAAACACUUAUUGUUAUUCUCCCUUUUUUUUUUUUCUUCUGUGGGAGUAGAUGAUAUUGCUAAGUGACCGAAUACUCAUUUGACCCUUGAAAAUGCAAGAGUCAUGUUUAAUUCAUGUCUUUUAUUUAUAGAUUUAGGCUCCUCCAGUUUCUGUCUUGCAAUGUGCGGCUGCUGCUCCAGAGCAGAGGGAGGGUGUUUGGCCAGAGCCCCCCCUCAAGGAACAGGACCAAGCUGUGGCAGGAACGCUGUUGGGUACCAUGUCAGCCCCCUGCAUGCUGAUGAGGGCUUGUAAGAAAAUAAAUAUGGGGAUUUUUGCAGCCAAAUUGCAUGAACAUUUUUGGUGGAGCAAUCACAGCUGGCUGCCCGCCUGCCUGCCAUCAAAUCAAGGGUUUUCCAGUGGUAUUUGCAUCCAGCAUGUUCCUCCAAGAGACCAGCCCAGCGAGAUGGGGUGGAAGGGAGCCAUGUCUCCCUGUCCCUCGCCCCACCAGCCCCAUGGCGCCCUGCCGAAGCCGAGCCCAAGGGCUGGAGCAAACUGGGCUGAGGGGGAAGCUCUGCCCCAUGACCACAGUCCAGCAAAGCCACACGAGGAGCUGAGCGCAGCGCAGAGAUGCGUGAAGCCAGGAGUUCAUUAAUCAGAUUAAUGAGGCCAUGAUCUUAAAGCCACAUACAGAUGACAAAAGUGAUUGAGUGGUGCUGGACAGAAGCAACGUGGGCAGAGCUGGCUCUGGGAUGAACUCGUGUUGUCAGCAGGGAAAGACAGUCCUGGGAUGUGUGGCCAGGGGCACCCGAGCAGAAGGACGGGGACAUAAUCCUGCCUCCCAGUACAGCACUGGUUAAACCACUGUCAGCUGUGGGCAAAGCAUCACAGGAAGGGAGUGGGAGAGGCUGCAAAGGGAGGGAAUUGCAGCCUGGAGGAAGAUAAAGGGUUUAGAGAGGAUGGCUGUGAAGAAAGCGAUUAGAGGAAAUUAAAAAUGGCCAGGCUGGAGAUCAGGGUUGGGGAGGAGGAAUCUGGCCAUGCCGGUGCGAGGGUGCACUGCAGCACGGGGAAAUUGCUGUCAUCACUGGACCGUGCCGAGGCUGGGAAUAAACAACGACAUUAGAUGGAGCAGGAGGCUCACACGCGUCCAAGGCCAGCCAGGCACUCCGGCACUGGCACCAGUUUGGGGCUGAAACAAAGCAGCAGGCCAGCGAAGGGGCUGGAGGGGGCAGGGAGGUGUUAAUUCCUGCCUGGUGACACCCUGAGGUAUAUGCUUGGUGAGUCUGAAUGAGCUUUUGGUAGAGCUCUUCUGCCUCUGGUUUUUCAAUUUAGUGAUUAAACAUCCAUCGCAGACGUGCCUCUUCCCUCGGACAAACGUCUUGCAAAGGCCAGGCAACCUUGGGCAUCAUCAGUUGCCUUGAACUUGGCACCUUCUGCAGCCACAGAGAGCCACGGGAGAUGGAUGUGUCGUCCCCAGUACUUCGGGGCACUGGCUGGAAGCUUGCCUUGCCCUAGGAGCUCUGAGGAUGCUGAAGGACCGGUCCUUGGAGUGCAAACGCUGGAUUGGAGCAGGAUUGGAGAUUGGGGACAGAUAAGGAUGCUCUUGCAUGUCUCAGCAGUGCCAUCAAAUGCACUCGUGUCGCUUUGGUGGGGGAGAGGAUGAGGUGGGCUCCUGGGUGCUCCCUGGGUCAUUGCUGCUGCUCCUGGGAGGUGCCCGAGGGCACGACCCUACAACUUGCUCCCUAGAAAUUGCUGCCAACCUGCGGGGGCUCCGACAGAGGCAGUGUCACACCAGAGGUGUUGUGUCCAUUACAGGUGGCUGUGCCACACCUCCAGGUUGAAGAACAACUAGGAGAGCCGAGAUGUUCACCACAAGCCUUCUCUUGAAAAGGAUGCUGCUGGAGGGGAGAGCUCUGGGUGGUGGUUUGACCCCUCGUUCUCCUCUCCCACUGCCUCUUCUUAAAAAAUAGGAAAGAAUUAAAUCCCAUCAGUGGCUUUUAAAAGCUAACUGAAAAUGUCCUUUAUUAAAUUACCACCCUAUUGAUCUAGCAGUCAUCCGAAAGGGGAUUGAUUGAGGACUUAAACAGACACACAGCCGGGCCAGAUGUUCAAUUAAUGUGCAUAAACGGGCAGUGGAGAAGCAAUUUUCAGAGAUGUCGUCGAGAGACAGCACUCAAAGCCCAGCUCGCUCCACUCACGGAGCCAUCGCUCCCUUCCGUCAGGACUUGGAGAGGACACGUUUGCAGAAGGGUCGGGGAAAGCCACAUCGAAGAGAGAACUCGCACCUGAGGGUGUUUUUAGCAUUUUAAAAUCCCAGGUUCUCUGUUAAACUCCUACAGAGAAGGCAGGAUGCAGCAGAAGAUCUGUCACCUGCUUUGAGGAUUCAUGUGUCUGAUGAACCUUGAGUUUCUCCUCCAAGUCUGGGGAAGAUCUGGGGGGGAAAACAUCUUUAUUGAGUGUUUCCUCCCGUCUCUUCCCCACAUGAUAAUUCCAGCUGGAUGCUAGGGGCGAAGCAACUAUGAUGGAUAUACAAAUAUCUAGCUUCUCUCCGGCCUUUCCAAAGACAGCCCGCGGACACAGCUGAAGCAGGAGUGAGAGGAAAGCAUUUGAAGGCAAGUCACCGUUCUGUGUGUGUGUGUAAACAGCAAGAAAUACUCUGGGUGGUUUUUUUCUCCAGACUUAGCAAGGAUCCUGGCAAGAAAUGCUGCUCUCUGAAGGCCAUCAGCCCAGCUUUGGCUUGAGGGCUUUGCUCCCGAUCUCCCUUAAGGCAGAGGUAGGUGGCAUCACCCCACGCACGUAGAAGGGAUCACCUUUGACGCGGCCCAAGGAGAGCGCAGAGCCAGGCUGCUGAGCCCCAGUGCAUGGGGAGGCUGAGCCAAGGCGUUCCGUGGCUCCAGAAGAGCUUCCAGGUGGAGAUGAACCACGGACCCGGUGAGCUGGAGAUGCUGAGGUUCCGCUGUGCCUGAUGCACCAUCGGUGCAAAUCCGCUGGGUCCUUCCCCAGGGAGCCAGCAGUGCCUCACAGCAGUGACACUGGGGACCUUGAUCGUCCUGUUGGGGACGCUGGGGCAGAACUGGAGCCCAGUCCCCUGCACUGGGUUCUGCUCAUUCAGCUUUUGCUAAGCAGCGGCUGAAACUCCUUCUUCUCCGUCAAGCAACAGAACAGGAAUUUGGUGGGGCAAAGGACUCUUGAUCUACUGCACUUGGGGAAUAUGGGCUCAGGAACGUCCAUGUGAGCUCUUCCACCUUCCCUUCACUCUUGGCUUUGUCCUCUGCUCCCCCUGGUUGGGUGGAUGUGGGGUCCCCAAGGUCCCCAUGGUCUGGGCACGUGGAGAAGGAUGCUUUCCACUCGCUGACCUCUCUCCUCCUGCCCCCCCAGACCCAGCCGUCCCCUCACGCUGCUGCUGCUGCUCUGGGUGACAACAUGGCUUUGUGCAUCUCCUCCUGCGGGAAGGGGGGGACCGUGUCCUGAGCUGGCACCACAGCUGUUGGGUGUUUUUUCUCCUCCAAAGAUGAUCCCUGCAACAUUCCCACCACACCAGGACAGAGAACCCGAGCCCUCGCCUUGCUGGUCUGCUGCUUUGCCACGUGGCUGUCGGGAUUUAUCCAGUACCCUUCCAGCCUGAGGCACGGGAUGGUCCUGCCUGGUUUGUAGGUGGUUUGUUGGUUUUCUUGGAGCUGAAGCUGUUUCUCUGGGUGCCACCUCCUCCCUUAGGUCCGGGGUUUGGUCUUUGUCUCUGGAUGCUCUGGGGUUCUGCAUCUCCACCGACUCUCUGGAUGCUUUCUGUGCCAGAACUGCUCUCCACAGCUCACCCGUGCCUCGCCAGGGCUCAGGUCCACGGCUUGACUGACACAGAAGCGUUCCAGCAUCAGAGACUGAGAGACAAGCAAGCAAUUUGCCAGGAAAUUAUCCUUUGGGAUUCCUCCUCUCUCCAGUCAGUUUAAUUGGGUGAGCUCAGGGUGGCUUUAAUUGCUGUGCUCAAUACGCAGCUUCACCCCCUCCUCUCUUUUUUUGUCUCCCAUCUCUCUCUUCCCCCACCUCCUUCCCAGCACCAUUUAUCUUCCUUCUCCUACAGCAUCUCCCCUUGUUGUUUUUUCCCAAUAUCUCUUGCAAAUGGUGGCAAGCUGAAAACUGAAAUGCUGUUUGAGUCCCUCAUGGCUGACAGGUUCUUUAAGACUUUGGUGCUUCUCAGAGGGUGAUGAACUGGCUCAGAGAAUCCUGGAUUCACCCAGGGGAUUUGCAAUGGUUGUGGCACUGAAUGGCAAAGCAUCUGUUGCUGGUUGUGUGCCCUUUGGUGAAGGUGGUGAUGUCCGGUGGGAUGUGGGAUGUGUUUUCACAGUAGCUGCCUUCUUGCCCACAUGCUUUGUGGCUGAUGUCUCCUAAAUAUGUCCCAGCAUGGGCUGAGGCUGCAGCAGAGGCUGUAACUUCCCAGUGCGGGACUGGGAGCCCCUGGUCAUGGCUGGAGCCUGGAGGAUGUUCCCUUAUCCCUGGUGCUGCUUCCCAAAUUGCUCUUAUAAUUUUUAAGGGGUUGGAGACCACGUGGGGUUCAUGGUCAUCACGCUUGCAUAUGGCAACUGAAGUGCACAAACUACACCCACUUAAUUUGUCUCGGUUUUUGCUUGGGCUUAUUCCAGAACGACCUUCAGGGCAUUUUAUGGGUCAGAUUCUCAGUGAUGUGAAUUGGAAGCAUCCAUGAGCCCUCCCAGGGAGGUACCUGGUACUCGAGGGUGGUCUGGCACUUGCCACAGGACUUGUCUAAAUGGCUCUAGGGAGGGCUGCAAGGACAGGGAAAGUAGAGAGAGACAUUCAAAGUCCAUCCUGGAGUCCUUCCACCUGUCAGCAGCAUCCCCCUCCUCUCUUCUCCACCUUCACCAGAAGACCCCUGCUCCCCCAGCCUGGCCUGGCUGCAGCUCUCUGCUGCCCACAGAGGCAAAGCUCACUGCUGGGGAGCUUGCAGUGCGUUUCAGUUUGGUGUCUGAAUUUUAUAUAGUGUUCAGAAACAAGACUCAAUCUGCAAGCCCACUCCCUGGCCAGCAAACACCAGAUUUGUGGCUUGCUCGUGGUCCCCAGGGACACAGCACGAGCAUCCAAGCAGCACAUGCAGCACUAUGAUGAAUGAGGGAUAAUUUAAAAUGGCAGCUGAAGUCCAAAUUCUGUUUGUAAUAAAUACAUAAACUAGUUACAAAUAAAUUGAUUAGCCAAAGAUAUGCUCUUAACACUCUUUAAACUCUAACAUCUGUUUGUAAUAAAUAAUUCAACUGGUAGAUGUUAAUGGGGAGGCCGGGCUCGGUGGGAGGGAAGGCUGCUUGAGGCUCCGCAGAGACACAGGGCUGCCAAGAACCACGCGCCGGAGGAGCGGCUGUGGCUGCAGACACAUCCGUGUGCUGUCCUGGGGGCUCCCCGCGUGCCUGGCAGCCACACGCGUGUCCAGCCGUGUCCCAAUUGACACAGCCACGGUUGCACAGGUGGAGAAACUCUGCACGCAGGGUGGCACGUGUGUGCUUCGCGUGUUCCUGCCCGCGCCAUGUGCUCCCACCCAUGGGAGCAGGCUGAUCCCUGGGCGCAGCCACACGCAGCGCUGUGUCCCUGUGGAUUGACGUGGAGAUACGGCCGCACGCAGGCGUGACGUUAUGGAGCUUGUUGCAUGUGGUGUGCGCACGCUGUGGGUGCAGCGGGUGUGGAAGUUGCACACGUGUGUGUUUUCUGGCAUAUCCCUGCCCUGCUGCGGGAUCCCAGGGAAGAAGCAGGUACCUGCACCCCCCUCCCAGCCUUGCCUCCGGCAGCCCUGGCUGAAGGCAGCAGAACUGGCUGUCACAGGCUGAUAAUUGUUGGGUUUCUCCUUUUUUAAUCAGUGCUAACAGCUGCUGUGCCCAAUGCACGAGGGGCUGCUCCUGGCACUGGUGGUGAGCUGUCAGCUCAGGACCAUCUCCCUGAUCAGCCGGAGGAGCCAGCUGGAGCUGGACCAAGGCUGAGACUGUAGGGCCAGCCAGCAGCCUCCCGUGGGAGCAGCCCAUCCCCGUCACUUUUGGGUGGCUUGUCCUCUGGCUGGCAUCCUCCCCUGAGAACAACAGGAUCCUGGAGUGAGCGUGCACCACCCCCAGAUGUGCCACCACGGGAAUUUGAUGGGAUGUCCUGGGGCAUGCACAGAGCCAUUUCUUCUGGCCCCCACCUCCACAGACCCAUCACAAGUUGGGACCCCCCAGUGCUGCGUUCAGAGGCAGCCCCUGAGCCCAGCCCACACCGGUGCUGAUGCACCAGGGCUGGAUGAGGCUGAGCUGACCCAUUCUCCACCAAAACCCUCUGGAAAAUGCCAAGGAGCCUCUUAUGCCCUCCCUUUCCCAGGGCUGACAUGGCAAUUUGGCUGAAGUUGUUCUCCAGCCCCUCCCUGUCCCUUCCCUGCCCCAGGCACCUCAGCCCCCGGUGAAGACGCGGCAGGGAGCAUCGCCCCCAGAGUAACAGGUUCAUUCCCAACCUCCUCCAUCCUCCCAUGCUGCGUUUCCUCGACACGCUCGCUCAAACCUGCUUUGCCGGCAUUGCUCUCCAGCUUGCAGCACAGCCCCUGGGAACAUUCCCCCAGCAGCCAGCAAGAGCUGCUCGUUAAUUAGCCUCCCGUUACUCCCGAGCAUCCCCUGCAAUAACACACAGCUCCUGCUUUUUAACUACCUACAAGUAAUCACUCAGUCUCCAAUAAAAAGGGAAGGAACAAGCCCCUGGUUGUGUUGUUAGCAAUAAUUUUCCUGGCUGUUAACCUGCUCCCGUACUCUAAUUUUUCUCAUGGAAGCCCCAGAUGUGGUGGGGAAGGACGGGAGCCAAGCGCAGCUCCCGUCCUGCUGCUGACUUGCUGCCAGCCGCCCAGAGCCACACGUUCAGCAGUUCUUAUUCCUCCCUGCCCAUCCCACGUGCUGGUUUUAGGGGCACAGAGGGUGUGUGCACGUGAGUCUGUGCAAGAGAGACUUCCCACUGUCCGGCGCUUAGCUCAGCCUGCAAAUUUUUAUGGAAAAAGCUGGGAAAAUGCGAACGGCUGUGAUUGGGAUUUCUGCAUUAGUCCUGGAAAUCCCGUAUCAGCCUCGGAAAGGCAGUCGCUGCCCCUAAACAACUUAAAGUGUGAGGAAAAUACAGUCCUGUCUGAGACGUCAGCCUUGCCGGGUUAUUCCCAAGGAGCCAGCUGUUUUCUUCUCUUGUUGCCUGUAAAUCCCUGUCACGCUUAAAGCCUCUCUCCUGAUAGGGAGCCUAGCGCCUGAGCCCUGAAUAAACCUGCUGCAACUCUCCAGCUUAGC